rnacentral:rRNA from 1 species
UACGGAGGAUGCGAGCGUUAUCCGGAUUUAUUGGGUUUAAAGGGUGCGUAGGCGGACUGUCAAGUCAGCGGUAAAAUUGAGAGGCUCAACCUCUUCCCGCCGUUGAAACUGGUGGUCUUGAGUGGAUGAGAAGUAUGCGGAAUGCGUGGUGUAGCGGUGAAAUGCAUAGAUAUCACGCAGAACCCCGAUUGCGAAGGCAGCAUGCCGGCUUCCUACUGACGCUGAAGCACGAAAGCGUGGGGAUCGAACAGG